rnacentral:tmRNA from 1 species
GGGGAUGUAAUGGUUUCGACAUUACACCAGAAACAUAAAUUGCAAGUAGUGGAUUCUCGUUGGCCACUUAAAAAGCGAGAAAAUUAAAUAUAAACGCUGAUAGAGAAGAAUUAGCAUUAGCUGCCUAAGUUGCAGCUACGCUUUACUAAAUAUCCCACAUAUUUAGAUAAAGUGUCAUAACCGUGGGAAACAAAACUACUUUUUCUUGCGAAGUAGUGGGUAUUUUAGCAAGAUAUAUUUUAAUAAAACCUGUUUAUCGGUGUUGUUAAAAUGAACUUAAAUGAUAAACUAAACUUGUAGAAGUUUAUGUGGAAAGUGCUUUGGACAGGAGUUCGACUCUCCUCAUCUCCACCA